GUGGCGUCUGGUUAGGACGCCUUCUGGACGCCUCCUGUUAGAGGUGUUCCAGACAUGUCCCACCGGGAGGAGACCGCGUGGUCAGCCCAGGACCAGGUGGAGGGACUAGAUCUCUCUCCUGGUCUGGGAGCGCCUGGGAAUCCCCCUGGAGGAGGAGCUGGUGGAGGUGUCCGGGGUGAGGACCGUCUGGGCUCCCCUCCUGAAGCUGCUGACCCGCGACCCGGACCAGGAUGAAGCGGAAGAAAACGACGAC